rnacentral:rRNA from 1 species
AGUGGCGGACGGGUGAGUAACGCGUGAGAAUCUGCCUUGGGGUCGGGGACAACCACUGGAAACGGUGGCUAAUACCGGAUAAGCCGAUUGGUGAAAGAUUUAUUGCCCGAAGAGGAGCUCGCGUCUGAUUAGCUAGUUGGUGAGGUAAGAGCUCACCAAGGCAGCGAUCAGUAGCUGGUCUGAGAGGACGAUCAGCCACACUGGGACUGAGACACGGCCCAGACUCCUACGGGAGGCAGCAGUGGGGAAUUUUCCGCAAUGGGCGAAAGCCUGACGGAGCAAGACCGCGUGAGGGAGGAAGGCUCUUGGGUUGUAAACCUCUUUUCUCAGGGAAGAAGCUCUGACGGUACCUGAGGAAUCAGCCUCGGCUAACUCCGUGCCAGCAGCCGCGGUAAUACGGAGGAGGCAAGCGUUAUCCGGAAUUAUUGGGCGUAAAGCGUCCGCAGGUGGCGAUUCAAGUCUGCUGUCAAAGCACGGGGCUUAACUCCGUAAAGGCAGUGGAAACUGAAUAGCUAGAGUGCCGUAGGGGUAGAGGGAAUUCCCGGUGUAGCGGUGAAAUGCGUAGAGAUCGGGAAGAACAUCGGUGGCGAAAGCGCUCUACUGGACGGCAACUGACACUCAGGGGAAAGCUAGGGGAGCGAAUGGGAUUAGAUACCCC